rnacentral:rRNA from 1 species
GGGGAAUAUUGCACAAUGGGGGAAACCCUGAUGCAGCGACGCCGCGUGGAGGAAGAAGGUCUUCGGAUUGUAAACUCCUGUUGUUGAGGAAGAUAAUGACGGUACUCAACAAGGAAGUGACGGCUAACUACGUGCCAGCAGCCGCGGUAAAACGUAGGUCACAAGCGUUGUCCGGAAUUACUGGGUGUAAAGGGAGCGCAGGCGGGAAGACAAGUUGGAAGUGAAAUCCAUGGGCUCAACCCAUGAACUGCUUUCAAAACUGUUUUUCUUGAGUAGUGCAGAGGUAGGCGGAAUUCCCGGUGUAGCGGUGGAAUGCGUAGAUAUCGGGAGGAACACCAGUGGCGAAGGCGGCCUACUGGGCACCAACUGACGCUGAGGCUCGAAAGUGUGGGUAGCAAACAGGAUUAGAUACCCUGGUAGUCCACACCGUAAACGAUGAUUACUAGGUGUUGGAGGAUUGACCCCUUCAGUGCCGCAGUUAACACAAUAAGUAAUCCACCUGGGGAGUACGACCGCAAGGUUGAAACUCAAAGGAAUUGACGGGGGCCCGCACAAGCAGUGGAGUAUGUGGUUUAAUUCGACGCAACGCGAAGAACCUUACCAAGUCUUGACAUCCUGCGACGAUGCUGGAAACAGUAUUUUCCUUCGGGACGCAGAGACAGGUGGUGCAUGGUUGUCGUCAGCUCGUGUCGUGAGAUGUUGGGUUAAGUCCCGCAACGAGCGCAACCCUUAUGGUCAGUUACUACGCAAGAGGACUCUGGCCAGACUGCCGUUGACAAAACGGAGGAAGGUGGGGAUGACGUCAAAUCAUCAUGCCCUUUAUGACUUGGGCUACACACGUACUACAAUGGCGUUAAACAAAGAGAAGCAAGACCGCGAGGUGGAGCAAAACUCAGAAACAACGUCCCAGUUCGGACUGCAGGCUGCAACUCGCCUGCACGAAGUCGGAAUUGCUAGUAAUCGUGGAUCAGCAUGCCACGGUGAAUACGUUCCCG